rnacentral:tRNA from 1 species
GGGGAGGUGCCAGAGUGGCUGAUUGGGAUCGCCUGCUAAGCGAUUGUCGGGGUAAAACUUGACCGAGGGUUCGAAUCCCUCCCUCCCCG